rnacentral:rRNA from 1 species
GUGAGAUUAUUAGGGUGGAUGGAGAAACAAUUGUCCGCUGGGGGCAAAGAAAUAUUGAUAAAAGUUGUCGCACAAGCUAUUCUAGUUUUUGCAAUGAUGUUUAUCAUUCCUAAGGGGAUAUGUAAGGAAAUUACAGAUAUUAUUGCUCAGUUUUGGUGGGGUGGCGAUGAAGAUCAUAAGAGGGUGCACUGGAUGGCAUGGUGGAAAUUUCGUAUUGCUAAGAGUGAAGGAGGUAUGGGGUUUGGUGACCUAUACUCGUUCAACCUAGAUAUGCCCACAAAACAAUGUUGGAGACUUGUUACUGAGUAG